rnacentral:rRNA from 1 species
CCUACGGGUGACAGCAGUGGGGGAUAUUGCACAAUGGGGGGAACCCUGAUGCAGCGACGCCGCGUGGGUGAAGAAGCGCCUCGGCGCGUAAAGCCCUGUCAGCAGGGAAGAAAAUGACGGUACCUGAAGAAGAAGCCCCGGCUAACUACGUGCCAGCAGCCGCGGUAAUACGUAGGGGGCAAGCGUUAUCCGGAUUUACUGGGUGUAAAGGGGGCGAAGACGGCGGUGCAAGCCAGGAGUGAAAGGCCGGGGCCCAACCCCCGGACUGCUCUUGGAACUGCGUGGCUGGAGUGCAGGAGGGGCAAGCGGAAUUCCUGGUGUAGCGGUGAAAUGCGUAGAUAUCAGGAGGAACACCAGUGGCGAAGGCGGCCUGCUGGACGACAACUGACGGUGAGGCGCGAAAGCGUGGGGAGCAAACAGGAUUAGAUACCCUGGUAGUC